UGGGACUUAGGAUAACAUCAAACCAAGGGCCUUCAAACCCCUCAACGGGGGUGAAAAUCCCCCAGCCCCAG
rnacentral:tRNA from 1 species